rnacentral:ncRNA from 1 species
UAUAAAGCGUUGAAAGGGACAGUACCCUGAACAUUCAUCGUGCAAGAGAGGGAAUGCCAAAGGCUGAAAGCAUUCCUCACGAGCGUAAAGGAGAAAACCACCCUUGAGUGUUAGGCUGAAAUGAGUAAGCUUAGCCGUACCCCGCGUUAAGGGAGAUCGAGUGAAAGGGUUUUAUAGCCUUUCAAUUGGGUGGAACCACGGGAGUAAACUCUCGUCCCUGCU